rnacentral:sRNA from 1 species
GUCGGGCACUGUGGCGCAUACCUGUAAUCCCAGGGGCUUGGGAGGCUGAGGAAGGAGGAUCACAAAUGCAAAGCCGGUCUCAGCAAUUUAGGGAGGCCCUAAGUAACUCAGUGAGACCCUGUCUCUU